rnacentral:rRNA from 1 species
CGCUCCUUGAUUUUAAUUGAUAAGGAGUCGGACCUGCCCAGUGAUAAGUAUUUAACGGCCGCGGUACUCUGACCGUGCAAAGGUAGCAUAAUCAUUUGCCCUAUAAUUGAGGGCUAGUAUGAAUGGUUUGACAAGAACAAUACUGUCUCUUUCAAAANUUUCUAGAAUUUAUUCUUUAGGUGAAGAAACCUAAAUAAAAUUAAAAGACAAGAAGACCCUAUCGAGCUUAAACUCUUUUUAUAAAAUAAAAAAAAUUAAUAAUAUUUUUUGUUAUAAAAAAUUUUGGUUGGGGCGACUAAGGAACAAAAAAAGCUUCUUUAUUUAAUAAAGACAAAUAUGUAUUGAUCCAUAAAANUCUUGAUUAAAAGAACUAGUUACCGUAGGGAUAACAGCAUAAUCUUUUUUAAGAGUUCUUAUCGAAAAAAAGGUUUGUGACCUCGAUGUUGGACUAAAAUUUCCUAAUAGAUGCAGACGUCUUUAAGGG